UACGUAGGUGGCAAGCGUUGUCCGGAAUUAUUGGGCGUAAAGCGCGCGCAGGCGGUCUUUUAAGUCUGAUGUGAAAUCCCUCAGCUUAACUGGGGAACUGCGUGUGAUACUGGAUGGCUUGGAUUUGGGAGAGGGAUGCGGAAUUCCAGGUGUAGCGGUGAAAUGCGUAGAUAUCUGGAGGAACACCGGUGGCGAAGGCGGCAUCCUGGACCAAUAUUGACGCUGAGGAGCGAAAGCUAGGGGAGCAAACGGG
rnacentral:rRNA from 1 species